CGUAUCCAACCUGCGAUGACUCGGGGAUAGCCUUUCGAAAGAAAGAUUAAUACCCGAUGGCAUAGUUCUUCCGCAUGGUGGAACUAUUAAAGAAUUUCGGUCAUCGAUGGGGAUGCGUUCCAUUAGGUUGUUGGCGGGGUAACGGCCCACCAAGCCUUCGAUGGAUAGGGGUUCUGAGAGGAAGGUCCCCCACAUUGGAACUGAGACACGGUCCAAACUCCUACGGGAGGCAGCAUG
rnacentral:rRNA from 1 species